AUAUUCAUGAUGACUUUUUUUUUAUUAAACUAGAGUCUAUUAUAGUCACUGGCUUUAAUAUUAAAGUUAAUACUAACUGAUUACAGUGUUUCUCUUGGCUGUCUGAGAUAUAUUUGAUACUUGAUAU
rnacentral:sRNA from 1 species